CCUACGGGAGGCAGCAGUGGGGAAUAUUGCACAAUGGGGGAAACCCUGAUGCAGCGAAGCCGCGUGAAGGAUGAAGUAUUUAGGUAUGUAAACUUCUAUCAGCAGGGAAGAAAAUGACGGUACCUGACUACGAAGCCCCGGCUAACUAAGUGCAAGCAGCCGCGGUAAUACGUAGGGGGCAAGCGUUAUCCGGAUUUACUGGGUGGAAAGGGAGAGUAGACGGUUUGUCAAGUCUGAUGUGAAAACCCGGGGCUCAACCCCGGGACUGCAUUGGAAAAUGCCGAACUAGAGUGUCGGAGAGGCAAGUGGAAUGCCUAGUGUAGCGGUGAAAUGCAUAGAUAUUAGGAAGAACACCAGUUGCGAAGGCAGCUUGCUGGACGAUGACUGACGUUGAGGCUCGAAAGCGUGGGGAUCAAACAGGAUUAGAUACCCCAGUAGUC
rnacentral:rRNA from 1 species